UUUAAGCGCAGUCAUGAGUUGAUCCGUAUCUAAGUUUGAUCGUCCGUCUUAUUUGAAAUUUGUAUAUAAUUAAUUUUUUUUGUUAUUAGAUGAUAAAACAUGAAUAGUUCUUUAUGCGUGAUUUAUGUUCUUUUAUUUUUUUAAAAAAAAUAUUUUUAAAUAAAACGAUAAAUUAAAGUUGGACACGAAAGUCAUGGUUGUGUUUAAA
rfam:Oryza nivara chromosome 10, whole genome shotgun sequence.